rnacentral:sRNA from 1 species
AUUUAGCAAAUCUAAAGGAUGGAAGUGGCAUCCUGUAGCGCUGGGGUUCAGCGCUACAGAUAUAACGUACAGCGGGAAUAAUG